ensembl:lncRNA novel transcript
GAGCAUUUCUUAAGAAGAAUACCUAGAAACAUCUGGGGUCCUUCUAUUUCAUUGUCUUACAAUUAUUAGGCUUUGUGUAAACGCUCGCAGAUUGAAUGACGAAAUAAAAGAAGAAACUACAGCACAGUCAAUUUUCUCCAUGACAGCCUGAGAGAUGUAGCUGGUGCUGCCACUUUUCCUUCAUUUUUCCCUGCCUUGAAUAUGGUGGUGAUGCCUGGAGCUUCAGCAGCCAUCUUAUGGCCAUGAAAUGGCAAGCAUGAGAAUGAAAGAAAAUGCACUCAUCAUGAAAGGAGGAAGAGCAGAAGAAAUCUGGGUCACUGGUGAUAUCAAUGGAUAGCUGAAGCAGUGCUGCUCUGGAUGGAAAAUGCCCUGGGUUCUCCGAGACUUAACACCCCGCCUUGUGAACGCGAGCAAGAUUAUUCUCUCUGAGCAGCUCUUUUCACAUGUGAUAAGCUUGGCAAGUUGCCCUGUUCUAUAGGCCAAAAGUCUGAUACAAGUCUCACUGGGCUAAAAUCCAGUUGUCACCAGGCUGUGUUCGUUUCUGAAUGAAGGCUCUAGGGGAGAAUCUGCUUCAUUUUCCAGUUUGUGGAGGCUGCCCACAUUCCUUGGCUCAUGGCCUGCUUCCUACCUCUUCAAAGCCAGCAACACUGCGUCGCUCUGUGCCUUCUUUCCACGAUCACAUCUCCUUCUGACUCUCUGCUCCCUCUUCCACUUUUAAGGACCUUUGUGAUUAUAUUGGGCCACUCACAUAAUUAAAAAUAAUUUUCUCAUUUCAA